CCUCCUACGGGGGGCAGCAGUGGGGGAUAUUGCACAAUGGGGGAAACCCUGAUGCAGCGACGCCGCGUGGGCGAAGAAGUAUUUCGGUAUGUAAAGCUCUAUCAGCAGGGAAGAAAAUGACAGUACCUGACUAAGAAGCCCCGGCUAACUACGUGCCAGCAGCCGCGGUAAUACGUAGGGGGCAAGCGUUAUCCGGAUUUACUGGGUGUAAAGGGAGCGUAGACGGCUGCGCAAGUCAGAAGUGAAAGCCCGGGGCUCAACCGCGGGACUGCUUUUGAAACUGUAUAGCUAGAGUGCAGGAGAGG
rnacentral:rRNA from 1 species